ensembl:lncRNA
GUGUUCUACCCAGACUGGUUAUGACCAGAGCCUCCUUGCAACCCACUACUAUCUCAUUGCUCCUAACGUCCACAACCAGACUGCUGUCAGCCAGACGGUGACCAUCAGCUCGGUGUGGACAUCAUUGGCUGCAGGGCUGCUGCAGAGUGUUGACCACCAGAGCAUCCCCAGCCUCCCUGCCUCAGAGGUGAACACCCAAACAGCUAUAUGUGUAUUGGUAGGCUUCACCAGCUGCAAACACAUUGCUUGUGUGGAUUUGCUAGAAUCAAACCAAAAACAAGUUUUUAUUACACAUUAUAUCCCUCCCCUAGCUUCAGUGUCGCCAGUAAGGAGUGAAAGGUGGCAUCAUGAAGGUCAUCUCAGUUAUGACCUCAGAUAAAAUCCACAUUACUGGUGACAGUCCCUAUCGACUUGUUUACUUCACAUGCGGCGGUGUAUAAUGUCUCUCAUCUCUAACAGUACUUCCAUCUGGUGAUGGUAUCUGCCAGCCUGUACCUAUGUUGGAUUUAGGUGAUCGGAGACGGCAGGUACAUCACAAUUCUCAGACAGGAGAUUUAAAGUCCUGAUUUGUUUGCACCAACAGAGAUGUGGGACACUAUCUGAGUAACAUGAACACGCAACUUUAUCCAGCAUUUUGUGAGAAAAAUAUGAAUUGUUUGUGUUUGAGUACUUUGCAUUACGUUUUGAGUAUUUGAUGACUGUAUUCAUUCGUGUCAAAGUAACACAUGCUAUUUGUACUUCUCUUUUUUAUUUCAGUUGCAGCUGCGUAAGUGUCAAGUGUGUUAAUGGAAGUGUUGUUAUGGGGAGUGUACUGAACAAACUGGAAAUAAUCAUACACUUUUUAGAGCUGGCAAUUAACAUUGUUUUUUCUUGUAUUUAAACACAUAGGUUAAUGUACAGAAGAGUAACUUUCCACUCACUUGAAGGAAUAAAUCCCUGAAUUCUUUUCUGAGGUGCUCCAGAAACUGCUUUGGCCCCCGCAGCGCGACUGGAAGCAUCAUCUCCAGGCUGAAUCUCGCCCGGUUUUUAAACAGAAACAACCUUCACUCAUGCAGGCGAGCAUCAUUUGCAAAAUGAUAUCCGUUCAUAGUUGCAAGCCUGAAAAUGAAUAUCACAUGACUAUUCAUGCACGCUGGGGAUGUGGGUUCCGGUGUUGUUGUUGGUUGCAUGUUGGUUCCUUAGUUACAGAAACUACAACAGAGUACUACAGUAAGCUUUGAUCAUUAAAGGUGAUUGACCCUUAAAAUUUUCCUCUUUAAACUCAAACAGACAUAUUUGGAAAGUUUAUGUGGCGAUAUGUAGAGAAGUUUAAGAAUUUUGAUUUUUUUAAAUGGGCAAAAAAUACUGCAGGUGUUCUCUAUCUCCCUCUCACACACACACACACACACAAACACACACACACUCACACAUAAAAUGCACUAUUUUACAUCUUUCACUUGUUUCGCUGUCGGUUUUCUCACUUAUCAGC